AGCGAACGCUGGCGGCAGGCUUAACACAUGCAAGUCGAGCGGGCCUUUCGGGGUCAGCGGCGGACGGGUGAGUAACGCGUGGGAACGUGCCCUCAGGUUCGGAAUAACUCAGGGAAACUUGAGCUAAUACCGGAUACGCCCUUUUGGGGAAAGGCUUGCUGCCGGAGGAUCGGCCCGCGUCUGAUUAGCUAGUUGGUGAGGUAACGGCUCACCAAGGCGACGAUCAGUAGCUGGUCUGAGAGGAUGAUCAGCCACACUGGGACUGAGACACGGCCCAGACUCCUACGGGAGGCAGCAGUGGGGAAUAUUGGACAAUGGGCGCAAGCCUGAUCCAGCCAUGCCGCGUGAGUGAUGAAGGCCUUAGGGUUGUAAAGCUCUUUUAUCCGGGACGAUAAUGACGGUACCGGAGGAAUAAGCCCCGGCUAACUUCGUG
rnacentral:rRNA from 1 species